CUUUGGGGAGCCUGGUCUUUUGCUUGGACAAAUGCAAGUGCACUUGGAGAUUAGGCUGAACAUAAAAUGAAAGAAAAAGUCAAAAAGCACAAAGAGCGGGAGGACUGAGAUCUUGUCCUAAAGUGGAGCAAAGGAGUGGAGCAUGAUGGACUGCAGAGAUAGGCUGUAAAACUAAGCUUGACUGCGUAUCCGGGUGUUUUCUUGAGCGCCGCAUUGUUCACUGAAAGUGAAAUGCUGAUUCUAAUUGAGAGAAGCACACAGGAGCAUGUUCAAAUAGCUCAUUUGGAGCCUGUGUCAUCGCUUACGGCCAUACCACCCUGAACACGCCCGAUCUCGUCCGAUCUCGGAAGCUAAGCAGGGUCGGGCCUGGUUAGUACUUGGAUGGGAGACCGCCUGGGAAUACCAGGUGCUGUAAGCUUUUCUCUUCUUUUCUUGCAUCUUUUUGCCGUGUUCUCUCUCCAAGAGGCUAGGAUAUCGGUCUUUGGGGAGCCUGGUCUUUUGCUUGGACAAAUGCAAGUGCACUUGGAGAUUAGGCUGAACAUAAAAUGAAAGAAAAAGUCAAAAAGCACAAAGAGCGGGAGGACUGAGAUCUUGUCCUAAAGUGGAGCAAAGGAGUGGAGCAUGAUGGACUGCAGAGAUAGGCUGUAAAACUAAGCUUGACUGCGUAUCCGGGUGUUUUCUUGAGCGCCGCAUUGUUCACUGAAAGUGAAAUGCUGAUUCUAAUUGAGAGAAGCACACAGGAGCAUGUUCAAAUAGCUCAUUUGGAGCCUGUGUCAUCGCUUACGGCCAUACCACCCUGAACACGCCCGAUCUCGUCCGAUCUCGGAAGCUAAGCAGGGUCGGGCCUGGUUAGUACUUGGAUGGGAGACCGCCUGGGAAUACCAGGUGCUGUAAGCUUUUCUCUUCUUUUCUUGCAUCUUUUUGCCGUGUUCUCUCUCCAAGAGGCUAGGAUAUCGGUCUUUGGGGAGCCUGGUCUUUUGCUUGGACAAAUGCAAGUGCACUUGGAGAUUAGGCUGAACAUAAAAUGAAAGAAAAAGUCAAAAAGCACAAAGAGCGGGAGGACUGAGAUCUUGUCCUAAAGUGGAGCAAAGGAGUGGAGCAUGAUGGACUGCAGAGAUAGGCUGUAAAACUAAGCUUGACUGCGUAUCCGGGUGUUUUCUUGAGCGCCGCAUUGUUCACUGAAAGUGAAAUGCUGAUUCUAAUUGAGAGAAGCACACAGGAGCAUGUUCAAAUAGCUCAUUUGGAGCCUGUGUCAUCGCUUACGGCCAUACCACCCUGAACACGCCCGAUCUCGUCCGAUCUCGGAAGCUAAGCAGGGUCGGGCCUGGUUAGUACUUGGAUGGGAGACCGCCUGGGAAUACCAGGUGCUGUAAGCUUUUCUUUUCUUUUCUUGCAUCUUUUUGCCGUGUUCUCUCUCCAAGAGGCUAGGAUAUCGGUCUUUGGGGAGCCUGGUCUUUGCUUGGACAAAUGCAAGUGCACUUGGAGAUUAGGCUGAACAUAAAAUGAAAGAAAAAGUCAAAAAGCACAAAGAGCGGGAGGACUGAGAUCUUGUCCUAAAGUGGAGCAAAGGAGUGGAGCAUGAUGGACUGCAGAGAUAGGCUGUAAAACUAAGCUUGACUGCGUAUCCGGGUGUUUUCUUGAGCGCCGCAUUGUUCACUGAAAGUGAAAUGCUGAUUCUAAUUGAGAGAAGCACACAGGAGCAUGUUCAAAUAGCUCAUUUGGAGCCUGUGUCAUCGCUUACGGCCAUACCACCCUGAACACGCCCGAUCUCGUCCGAUCUCGGAAGCUAAGCAGGGUCGGGCCUGGUUAGUACUUGGAUGGGAGACCGCCUGGGAAUACCAGGUGCUGUAAGCUUUUCUCUUCUUUUCUUGCAUCUUUUUGCCGUGUUCUCUCUCCAAGAGGCUAGGAUAUCGGUCUUUGGGGAGCCUGGUCUUUUGCUUGGACAAAUGCAAGUGCACUUGGAGAUUAGGCUGAACAUAAAAUGAAAGAAAAAGUCAAAAAGCACAAAGAGCGGGAGGACUGAGAUCUUGUCCUAAAGUGGAGCAAAGGAGUGGAGCAUGAUGGACUGCAGAGAUAGGCUGUAAAACUAAGCUUGACUGCGUAUCCGGGUGUUUUCUUGAGCGCCGCAUUGUUCACUGAAAGUGAAAUGCUGAUUCUAAUUGAGAGAAGCACACAGGAGCAUGUUCAAAUAGCUCAUUUGGAGCCUGUGUCAUCGCUUACGGCCAUACCACCCUGAACACGCCCGAUCUCGUCCGAUCUCGGAAGCUAAGCAGGGUCGGGCCUGGUUAGUACUUGGAUGGGAGACCGCCUGGGAAUACCAGGUGCUGUAAGCUUUUCUCUUCUUUUCUUGCAUCUUUUUGCCGUGUUCUCUCUCCAAGAGGCUAGGAUAUCGGUCUUUGGGGAGCCUGGUCUUUUGCUUGGACAAAUGCAAGUGCACUUGGAGAUUAGGCUGAACAUAAAAUGAAAGAAAAAGUCAAAAAGCACAAAGAGCGGGAGGACUGAGAUCUUGUCCUAAAGUGGAGCAAAGGAGUGGAGCAUGAUGGACUGCAGAGAUAGGCUGUAAAACUAAGCUUGACUGCGUAUCCGGGUGUUUUCUUGAGCGCCGCAUUGUUCACUGAAAGUGAAAUGCUGAUUCUAAUUGAGAGAACCACACAGGAGCAUGUUCAAAUAGCUCAUUUGGAGCCUGUGUCAUCGCUUACGGCCAUACCACCCUGAACACGCCCGAUCUCGUCCGAUCUCGGAAGCUAAGCAGGGUCGGGCCUGGUUAGUACUUGGAUGGGAGACCGCCUGGGAAUACCAGGUGCUGUAAGCUUUUCUCUUCUUUUCUUGCAUCUUUUUGCCGUGUUCUCUCUCCAAGAGGCUAGGAUAUCGGUCUUUGGGGAGCCUGGUCUUUUGCUUGGACAAAUGCAAGUGCACUUGGAGAUUAGGCUGAACAUAAAAUGAAAGAAAAAGUCAAAAAGCACAAAGAGCGGGAGGACUGAGAUCUUGUCCUAAAGUGGAGCAAAGGAGUGGAGCAUGAUGGACUGCAGAGAUAGGCUGUAAAACUAAGCUUGACUGCGUAUCCGGGUGUUUUCUUGAGCGCCGCAUUGUUCACUGAAAGUGAAAUGCUGAUUCUAAUUGAGAGAAGCACACAGGAGCAUGUUCAAAUAGCUCAUUUGGAGCCUGUGUCAUCGCUUACGGCCAUACCACCCUGAACACGCCCGAUCUCGUCCGAUCUCGGAAGCUAAGCAGGGUCGGGCCUGGUUAGUACUUGGAUGGGAGACCGCCUGGGAAUACCAGGUGCUGUAAGCUUUUCUUUUUUCUUGCAUCUUUUUGCCGUGUUCUCUCUCCAAGAGGCUAGGAUAUCGGUCUUUGGGGAGCCUGGUCUUUUGCUUGGACAAAUGCAAGUGCACUUGGAGAUUAUAGCCUUCAAGAUAAAUGAAAGAAAAAGUCAAAAAAGCACAAAGAGCGGGAGGACUGAGAUCUUGUCCUAAAGUGGAGCAAAGGAGUGGAGCAUGAUGGACUGCAGAGAUAGGCUGUAAAACUAAGCUUGACUGCGUAUCCGGGUGUUUUCUUGAGCGCCGCAUUGUUCACUGAAAGUGAAAUGCUGAUUCUAAUUGAGAGAAGCACACAGGAGCAUGUUCAAAUAGCUCAUUUGGAGCCUGUGUCAUCGCUUACGGCCAUACCACCCUGAACACGCCCGAUCUCGUCCGAUCUCGGAAGCUAAGCAGGGUCGGGCCUGGUUAGUACUUGGAUGGGAGACCGCCUGGGAAUACCAGGUGCUGUAAGCUUUUCUCUUCUUUUCUUGCAUCUUUUUGCCGUGUUCUCUCUCCAAGAGGCUAGGAUAUCGGUCUUUGGGGAGCCUGGUCUUUUGCUUGGACAAAUGCAAGUGCACUUGGAGAUUAGGCUGAACAUAAAAUGAAAGAAAAAGUCAAAAAGCACAAAGAGCGGGAGGACUGAGAUCUUGUCCUAAAGUGGAGCAAAGGAGUGGAGCAUGAUGGACUGCAGAGAUAGGCUGUAAAACUAAGCUUGACUGCGUAUCCGGGUGUUUUCUUGAGCGCCGCAUUGUUCACUGAAAGUGAAAUGCUGAUUCUAAUUGAGAGAAGCACACAGGAGCAUGUUCAAAUAGCUCAUUUGGAGCCUGUGUCAUCGCUUACGGCCAUACCACCCUGAACACGCCCGAUCUCGUCCGAUCUCGGAAGCUAAGCAGGGUCGGGCCUGGUUAGUACUUGGAUGGGAGACCGCCUGGGAAUACCAGGUGCUGUAAGCUUUUCUCUUCUUUUCUUGCAUCUUUUUGCCGUGUUCUCUCUCCAAGAGGCUAGGAUAUCGGUCUUUGGGGAGCCUGGUCUUUUGCUUGGACAAAUGCAAGUGCACUUGGAGAUUAGGCUGAACAUAAAAUGAAAGAAAAAGUCAAAAAGCACAAAGAGCGGGAGGACUGAGAUCUUGUCCUAAAGUGGAGCAAAGGAGUGGAGCAUGAUGGACUGCAGAGAUAGGCUGUAAAACUAAGCUUGACUGCGUAUCCGGGUGUUUUCUUGAGCGCCGCAUUGUUCACUGAAAGUGAAAUGCUGAUUCUAAUUGAGAGAAGCACACAGGAGCAUGUUCAAAUAGCUCAUUUGGAGCCUGUGUCAUCGCUUACGGCCAUACCACCCUGAACACGCCCGAUCUCGUCCGAUCUCGGAAGCUAAGCAGGGUCGGGCCUGGUUAGUACUUGGAUGGGAGACCGCCUGGGAAUACCAGGUGCUGUAAGCUUUUCUCUUCUUUUCUUGCAUCUUUUUGCCGUGUUCUCUCUCCAAGAGGCUAGGAUAUCGGUCUUUGGGGAGCCUGGUCUUUUGCUUGGACAAAUGCAAGUGCACUUGGAGAUUAGGCUGAACAUAAAAUGAAAGAAAAAGUCAAAAAGCACAAAGAGCGGGAGGACUGAGAUCUUGUCCUAAAGUGGAGCAAAGGAGUGGAGCAUGAUGGACUGCAGAGAUAGGCUGUAAAACUAAGCUUGACUGCGUAUCCGGGUGUUUUCUUGAGCGCCGCAUUGUUCACUGAAAGUGAAAUGCUGAUUCUAAUUGAGAGAAGCACACAGGAGCAUGUUCAAAUAGCUCAUUUGGAGCCUGUGUCAUCGCUUACGGCCAUACCACCCUGAACACGCCCGAUCUCGUCCGAUCUCGGAAGCUAAGCAGGGUCGGGCCUGGUUAGUACUUGGAUGGGAGACCGCCUGGGAAUACCAGGUGCUGUAAGCUUUUCUUUUCUUUCUUGCAUCUUUUUGCCGUGUUCUCUCUCCAAGAGGCUAGGAUAUCGGUCUUUGGGGAGCCUGGUCUUUGCUUGGACAAAUGCAAGUGCACUUGGAGAUUAGGCUGAACAUAAAAUGAAAGAAAAAGUCAAAAAGCACAAAGAGCGGGAGGACUGAGAUCUUGUCCUAAAGUGGAGCAAAGGAGUGGAGCAUGAUGGACUGCAGAGAUAGGCUGUAAAACUAAGCUUGACUGCGUAUCCGGGUGUUUUCUUGAGCGCCGCAUUGUUCACUGAAAGUGAAAUGCUGAUUCUAAUUGAGAGAAGCACACAGGAGCAUGUUCAAAUAGCUCAUUUGGAGCCUGUGUCAUCGCUUACGGCCAUACCACCCUGAACACGCCCGAUCUCGUCCGAUCUCGGAAGCUAAGCAGGGUCGGGCCUGGUUAGUACUUGGAUGGGAGACCGCCUGGGAAUACCAGGUGCUGUAAGCUUUUCUCUUCUUUUCUUGCAUCUUUUUGCCGUGUUCUCUCUCCAAGAGGCUAGGAUAUCGGUCUUUGGGGAGCCUGGUCUUUUGCUUGGACAAAUGCAAGUGCACUUGGAGAUUAGGCUGAACAUAAAAUGAAAGAAAAAGUCAAAAAGCACAAAGAGCGGGAGGACUGAGAUCUUGUCCUAAAGUGGAGCAAAGGAGUGGAGCAUGAUGGACUGCAGAGAUAGGCUGUAAAACUAAGCUUGACUGCGUAUCCGGGUGUUUUCUUGAGCGCCGCAUUGUUCACUGAAAGUGAAAUGCUGAUUCUAAUUGAGAGAAGCACACAGGAGCAUGUUCAAAUAGCUCAUUUGGAGCCUGUGUCAUCGCUUACGGCCAUACCACCCUGAACACGCCCGAUCUCGUCCGAUCUCGGAAGCUAAGCAGGGUCGGGCCUGGUUAGUACUUGGAUGGGAGACCGCCUGGGAAUACCAGGUGCUGUAAGCUUUUCUCUUCUUUUCUUGCAUCUUUUUGCCGUGUUCUCUCUCCAAGAGGCUAGGAUAUCGGUCUUUGGGGAGCCUGGUCUUUUGCUUGGACAAAUGCAAGUGCACUUGGAGAUUAGGCUGAACAUAAAAUGAAAGAAAAGUCAAAAAGCACAAAGAGCGGGAGGACUGAGAUCUUGUCCUAAAGUGGAGCAAAGGAGUGGAGCAUGAUGGACUGCAGAGAUAGGCUGUAAAACUAAGCUUGACUGCGUAUCCGGGUGUUUUCUUGAGCGCCGCAUUGUUCACUGAAAGUGAAAUGCUGAUUCUAAUUGAGAGAAGCACACAGGAGCAUGUUCAAAUAGCUCAUUUGGAGCCUGUGUCAUCGCUUACGGCCAUACCACCCUGAACACGCCCGAUCUCGUCCGAUCUCGGAAGCUAAGCAGGGUCGGGCCUGGUUAGUACUUGGAUGGGAGACCGCCUGGGAAUACCAGGUGCUGUAAGCUUUUCUCUUCUUUUCUUGCAUCUUUUUGCCGUGUUCUCUCUCCAAGAGGCUAGGAUAUCGGUCUUUGGGGAGCCUGGUCUUUUGCUUGGACAAAUGCAAGUGCACUUGGAGAUUAGGCUGAACAUAAAAUGAAAGAAAAAGUCAAAAAGCACAAAGAGCGGGAGGACUGAGAUCUUGUCCUAAAGUGGAGCAAAGGAGUGGAGCAUGAUGGACUGCAGAGAUAGGCUGUAAAACUAAGCUUGACUGCGUAUCCGGGUGUUUUCUUGAGCGCCGCAUUGUUCACUGAAAGUGAAAUGCUGAUUCUAAUUGAGAGAAGCACACAGGAGCAUGUUCAAAUAGCUCAUUUGGAGCCUGUGUCAUCGCUUACGGCCAUACCACCCUGAACACGCCCGAUCUCGUCCGAUCUCGGAAGCUAAGCAGGGUCGGGCCUGGUUAGUACUUGGAUGGGAGACCGCCUGGGAAUACCAGGUGCUGUAAGCUUUUCUCUUCUUUUCUUGCAUCUUUUUGCCGUGUUCUCUCUCCAAGAGGCUAGGAUAUCGGUCUUUGGGGAGCCUGGUCUUUUGCUUGGACAAAUGCAAGUGCACUUGGAGAUUAGGCUGAACAUAAAAUGAAAGAAAAAGUCAAAAAGCACAAAGAGCGGGAGGACUGAGAUCUUGUCCUAAAGUGGAGCAAAGGAGUGGAGCAUGAUGGACUGCAGAGAUAGGCUGUAAAACUAAGCUUGACUGCGUAUCCGGGUGUUUUCUUGAGCGCCGCAUUGUUCACUGAAAGUGAAAUGCUGAUUCUAAUUGAGAGAAGCACACAGGAGCAUGUUCAAAUAGCUCAUUUGGAGCCUGUGUCAUCGCUUACGGCCAUACCACCCUGAACACGCCCGAUCUCGUCCGAUCUCGGAAGCUAAGCAGGGUCGGGCCUGGUUAGUACUUGGAUGGGAGACCGCCUGGGAAUACCAGGUGCUGUAAGCUUUUCUCUUCUUUUCUUGCAUCUUUUUGCCGUGUUCUCUCUCCAAGAGGCUAGGAUAUCGGUCUUUGGGGAGCCUGGUCUUUUGCUUGGACAAAUGCAAGUGCACUUGGAGAUUAGGCUGAACAUAAAAUGAAAGAAAAAGUCAAAAAGCACAAAGAGCGGGAGGACUGAGAUCUUGUCCUAAAGUGGAGCAAAGGAGUGGAGCAUGAUGGACUGCAGAGAUAGGCUGUAAAACUAAGCUUGACUGCGUAUCCGGGUGUUUUCUUGAGCGCCGCAUUGUUCACUGAAAGUGAAAUGCUGAUUCUAAUUGAGAGAAGCACACAGGAGCAUGUUCAAAUAGCUCAUUUGGAGCCUGUGUCAUCGCUUACGGCCAUACCACCCUGAACACGCCCGAUCUCGUCCGAUCUCGGAAGCUAAGCAGGGUCGGGCCUGGUUAGUACUUGGAUGGGAGACCGCCUGGGAAUACCAGGUGCUGUAAGCUUUUCUCUUCUUUUCUUGCAUCUUUUUGCCGUGUUCUCUCUCCAAGAGGCUAGGAUAUCGGUCUUUGGGGAGCCUGGUCUUUUGCUUGGACAAAUGCAAGUGCACUUGGAGAUUAGGCUGAACAUAAAAUGAAAGAAAAAGUCAAAAAGCACAAAGAGCGGGAGGACUGAGAUCUUGUCCUAAAGUGGAGCAAAGGAGUGGAGCAUGAUGGACUGCAGAGAUAGGCUGUAAAACUAAGCUUGACUGCGUAUCCGGGUGUUUUCUUGAGCGCCGCAUUGUUCACUGAAAGUGAAAUGCUGAUUCUAAUUGAGAGAAGCACACAGGAGCAUGUUCAAAUAGCUCAUUUGGAGCCUGUGUCAUCGCUUACGGCCAUACCACCCUGAACACGCCCGAUCUCGUCCGAUCUCGGAAGCUAAGCAGGGUCGGGCCUGGUUAGUACUUGGAUGGGAGACCGCCUGGGAAUACCAGGUGCUGUAAGCUUUUCUCUUCUUUUCUUGCAUCUUUUUGCCGUGUUCUCUCUCCAAGAGGCUAGGAUAUCGGUCUUUGGGGAGCCUGGUCUUUUGCUUGGACAAAUGCAAGUGCACUUGGAGAUUAGGCUGAACAUAAAAUGAAAGAAAAAGUCAAAAAGCACAAAGAGCGGGAGGACUGAGAUCUUGUCCUAAAGUGGAGCAAAGGAGUGGAGCAUGAUGGACUGCAGAGAUAGGCUGUAAAACUAAGCUUGACUGCGUAUCCGGGUGUUUUCUUGAGCGCCGCAUUGUUCACUGAAAGUGAAAUGCUGAUUCUAAUUGAGAGAAGCACACAGGAGCAUGUUCAAAUAGCUCAUUUGGAGCCUGUGUCAUCGCUUACGGCCAUACCACCCUGAACACGCCCGAUCUCGUCCGAUCUCGGAAGCUAAGCAGGGUCGGGCCUGGUUAGUACUUGGAUGGGAGACCGCCUGGGAAUACCAGGUGCUGUAAGCUUUUCUUCUUUUUCUUGCAUCUUUUUGCCGUGUUCUCUCUCCAAGAGGCUAGGAUAUCGGUCUUUGGGGAGCCUGGUCUUUUGCUUGGACAAAUGCAAGUGCACUUGGAGAUUAGGCUGAACAUAAAAUGAAAGAAAAAGUCAAAAAGCACAAAGAGCGGGAGGACUGAGAUCUUGUCCUAAAGUGGAGCAAAGGAGUGGAGCAUGAUGGACUGCAGAGAUAGGCUGUAAAACUAAGCUUGACUGCGUAUCCGGGUGUUUUCUUGAGCGCCGCAUUGUUCACUGAAAGUGAAAUGCUGAUUCUAAUUGAGAGAAGCACACAGGAGCAUGUUCAAAUAGCUCAUUUGGAGCCUGUGUCAUCGCUUACGGCCAUACCACCCUGAACACGCCCGAUCUCGUCCGAUCUCGGAAGCUAAGCAGGGUCGGGCCUGGUUAGUACUUGGAUGGGAGACCGCCUGGGAAUACCAGGUGCUGUAAGCUUUUCUCUUCUUUUCUUGCAUCUUUUUGCCGUGUUCUCUCUCCAAGAGGCUAGGAUAUCGGUCUUUGGGGAGCCUGGUCUUUUGCUUGGACAAAUGCAAGUGCACUUGGAGAUUAGGCUGAACAUAAAAUGAAAGAAAA